AGGAAUUAGAGAAGCAACAGAUUUGACAAAGGACUGAGGUGGAGGUGAAGGUGUUGCCUUUGUGGGUAAAGAAGGGCACUGCAGGUCAUUCUACAGGAAACAGAACUCACUGUGGUUAAAGAUAUCUAGGAAAUCUGGAAAGGAAUCCAAGCCUGUCCAACUCCAAAGCCAAAGAAAUGUUCAUGGUGAUUUUACAGAGACCCUGGAAUUAUCCAUUAUUUUGCCUGAGACACAUAGAUAAGAAACCUCGAGACUCAGCGAAGUGAAGAGACCUGUUAAUCAUGCAGCUUGAAUGCCGUGACCAUGCUGGAGCUCAGACCUCAUGACUCCAAGUCAUGUAUAUUGCUCCAUAUCCAGGGGUGAAAAAAGGAAUUUAGACUCUUACUGGAGCUGCCUGUGGUCAGGGGCAGGAGGAGCUGUGAACCAGUCGGAGGAGGUGGGAAACACAUUCGAUGCAGACAGAAUUGCCUAUUCAGAGGCAUAGGAGACUGGGAAGAUGAGGCCGAGAUGAAGGCCUGCAGCUUGGGAUGCCUGUGGCACACGGGUAUGAAGACGCAUAUGCCAAAGGUAAGGCUAGACAUAUGAGCAUAUUCAUCUUGCCCCUUCCAGGUGAAGACUUCCCUGUUUUGUUCUGGAGACACAAGGAAGCUGUUGAAGCAUCUUAGGUAUGGACACGUCAUGACCUGAUACCCAUUUUCUGUGAGGUCAUCUGGGGGAAGUGUGAAGGAGAGUAUCUAGAACGUCUAGUAGAGUAUCUGGAGUAUCUGGAGUAUCUAGGAGUGUAUAGGAAAGCAUAUAUUUCGAGAAGGGAGAGGGGACCCAAAGCAAAGCUACCAGAGGGGAGCCUCUCACAAUUGUCUACGUAUGGAGGGAGAGAAAGAUGAACCGGAAGGCUUUUAAUUGAUAAGCUGGACAGGUGAAGAGAAAGGUGCCGAGGACUGUGGCCAGGUUGGAUGUGUCUAUAGGAACGUAUGAGAUGGCGCGGGGAGGAGGAAGGUAGCCCUGUUUUGGAUGUUGAAGGCUCGAGGUACUUGGGAUGUAUGCUUGGGAUGCUGCAUGCACGUUAUGGAUUAAUAGGGUGGGGAUCAGCACCUGGAGAGAGGGGCUGACAGGUAGCACUGUGGGUAGAAGUGACGGGGGGCUUCUCACAGCAGUGUUUAGUGUAUGGGAAGCUGGCAAUUUCUCAAGGAAGGAGGUGCUGUAGGAGCUUCUGGGGGCAGCCAACGUCCUCAAUGUUAUCCACUCCCACCACCAUUUCUUGGAUCUGAGUCUGGAAUUCUGUUUCCAGCCAUGCCUUUACUCUUGAGUUGUGGAAGGUAUCAACCCUAAUUGAAUUAUUAUUUAAUAAAACAUCUAGAAUAGUGCCUGGAAUGUAGUCAUUACUGCACAUAGUCUGCUGUGCAAGUGCUUAUUAAGCAAAACAGGUGAAGGAACUCCCACUUAGCAGCUUGAGGUCUUUCUUCUUGCUUGAUACACAUAGGGCUUUGGGCAGGAAAUAGAGAUGCCUGAGGAGGACCAGCAUCUUAGAAAUAGGCUGAAGAAGAGUACAAGAAGGGCCAUCCAAAGACUAAGCAGAACAUCAACGAAAGCUUGUGUCACGCCAGGCUCAUUUCUUCAAGAAGGUGGUGUCCACAGGGCGGAACGCAGGCAGCAGCACGAUUAAGUGAAAGAUGGCAAGUGUUUUAUUAGGUCUGGAAUCCAUCUCAGAGAUGAAAGUUGGCAUGUGCCUUGUGGGAUUGUUAAUGGUAAUAGUCUCAAUGUUUAUCUUUUAGACCUGCUGCAUUCAAUUUGGAACCAGGAGCCACAGGCGUCACCUAAGCCACUAGCCCACAUGUCUUAAGUGGCUACUUUCCAUUUCAUGAGGUGUUUCAAUAAGGAUUUAAUGAGUGUCUGAUGUGUGCCAAACAAAACAGACAAUGUCUUACAGGAGACACAGAUGUUUAUGUGUAUGUUUAAUGUCAAAACAUGUGUAGCCUGUGCUCCCUGCUAUGUGCUCUCAUGGUUCUUGCCUGAAGUCCAUUUGUUUUCUGCAAUUCUGAACUUCUUAGUAUAAUUGAUGGAGAGAGACAAUGAAACUAUACAGCUCCUCCAAGGAGACUGUAAGCUCCAAGAUAGCAGGGUUGUCUGGGUCUGCACAUCCACAUGUCCAAGAGCCUGGCACAUAAACACAUACGGAAUAAUGAUCACAAUUUCAGGAAGUGCAAUGAAGAAAUGGUACAAUGUCCUUUGAGAGUAGGUAACUGGGGGGAUCUUAUUUAAAUGAGAGGGUAUUCAGACCAGAGAAAAAUUCCGUAAGGAAAUGACAGCUAGAGUGAGAGUUGCAAGAAG